AAAAUACAAAUUGUGCACACUGCCGGCAGCCAGGAGGAAGGGACGCUGAACGUCUACUUUUAGGGGCACCUGAAAUCAGACGCACCUGUGGAGCAUUAAGACUGCACAUAUUUAGAAGGAGAGAACUGGCAAGGCGUGGGAAUGUUCGACAGGCUUUGACAAGAGUGACUGGGACUACACAGCAGACUCUGCAGGCUACCGGCGCGAUCACCAAGAAGCCCACAACAUGCAAAGCAGAUAAAACUCUUCCUCCGAAGAGUUGGGACCAGGGGUAAUCAGGAUGUCCCCAAAAGGCAUGUCCUGCUGCACAAGCCUCCUCCUGGAUGUCAAAUCCUCUACAACACACACAAAUAUCAACUGUCAUCCUCCAAAGCUCAUUUGUGCAGAUUGUGGCUUAUAAACUAUAUCUGCUUUGUGACAUAACUGCUUGUCAUAUGUCUGGGACAUGACCUCACUUCCUGUUUUUAAUCUGUUAUGUAUUUGACCAAAACGUAACAAAUAAAAUUGAUGCA